rnacentral:rRNA from 1 species
UUGGUGGGGUGAUGGCCUACCAAGGCGACGACGGGUAGCCGGCCUGAGAGGGUGUCCGGCCACACUGGGACUGAGAUACGGCCCAGACUCCUACGGGAGGCAGCAGUGGGGAAUAUUGCACAAUGGGCGCAAGCCUGAUGCAGCGACGCCGCGUGGGGGAUGACGGCCUUCGGGUUGUAAACCCCUUUCAGCACAGACGAAGCGCAAGUGACGGUAUGUGCAGAAGAAGCACCGGCCAACUACGUGCCAGCAGCCGCGGUAAUACGUAGGGUGCGAGCGUUGUCCGGAAUUACUGGGCGUAAAGAGCUCGUAGGUGGUUUGUCGCGUUGUUCGUGAAAACUCACAGCUUAACUGUGGGCGUGCGGGCGAUACGGGCAGACUGGAGUACUGCAGGGGAGACUGGAAUUCCUGGUGUAGCGGUGGAAUGCGCAGAUAUCAGGAGGAACACCGGUGGCGAAGGCGGGUCUCUGGGCAGUAACUGACGCUGAGGAGCGAAAGCGUGGGGAGCGAACAGGAUUAGAUACCCUGGUAGUCCACGCCGUAAACGGUGGGUACUAGGUGUGGGUUUCCUUCCUUGGGAUCCGUGCCGUAGCUAACGCAUUAAGUACCCCGCCUGGGGAGUACGG